CUCUCAAAUCUAUUUUGUGGGGUAGCAAAAAUACAAAUCUCUCCUAAAAAAACAGACCCCCUUUGAGCCAAACCCCGGAGAAACCCUAGGAAAGCUCUCAGGGGCGGCGCAGCAUCCGCGACGAACGAUGGCUGGCUACCGCAGCCGGAGUCCGAGCCGGAGCUAUAGCCCUCGGAGGCGAUACAGCCGGAGCCCUCCUAGGCGCAAGCGCUACGACGACCCCCGCGACCGCUACCGCGGGGGUGGGGGCGGCGGAGGCGGAGGCGGAGGCGGAGGCGGAGCCCGGCGUGGGUACGGUCGGCCGUCGGCGCAGUCCGGUCUCCUCAUCCGCAACAUCUCCAUCACAGCCAGGCCAGAAGAUAUUCGUGUUCCCUUUGAGCAAUUCGGCCCUGUAAAGGAUGUCUAUCUUCCAAGAAACUUCCACACCAGGGAACUUCGUGGUUUCGGAUUUGUGAAAUUCCGCUACCCUGAGGAUGCUGCGGUGGCCAAGCAAGAGAUGAAUCAUCAAGUUAUUGGUGGCCGAGAGAUUUCAAUAGUUUAUGCUGAAGAGAAUAGAAAGACACCCCAAGAAAUGCGCAUGAGAACAAGAAUAAGUGGUAGGUAUAUGGACAGAAGGUACACAAGGCGAUCAGUAUCUAGAUCUCCAAGAUCUCAUUCCCACUCUUAUUCACCUACACCAUCUCCGGUUAGGCGUGACUUCAGUCAACAAAGAAUAUAGUCUAAAAGACCAAAAGACAACCAUGAUGUUUGGAGAAUAAAGACCAAAGUGAAAGUACUAUGACCUCCCCAGUUGGAGAAUGUGAAAGGGACUACUGUUAAAGAUAAAGUGGUACUGUCACCCAGACUGUAAAGAUAAUCUUGGCUAAGAAACCUGGGGAAAAGAGUUAUUUUCAAGUGAGCUGAUUCUGUUGAGCCAGCACCUUAAUGCAUUGCACAUUGCAUGUUUGGGACAAAGUCGGUAGCUUUUAUUGAUAUGGGACAGGGGCAGGGACAGCCGUGACAAUUACUCCCCUGGGGGGUCAUACUCUCCGCGUCCUCAGAAUAACAGGCACUACAGGUCAGGUAGUCGAUCUCCAAGCCCAGAUGGGUGCAAACCUCAGGUGUCACCAAUCACCGAUGGGCAUGGCCCAGCUGUUGUAUCCAGCCCCAGAUAAUAUGAUGCCGUUUGGGAUUGCUUUGGAAUGAAGGUGGGAGGAUGGAAAGCUGCAGACAACGCCUUCCUUUGAUCAAUCUUCCCUAGAAGAGAUCAGUAGGUUUUUAGUGAAACGUGCUUGUAUGGGUGAUGCUUUUGGUUGAAACAAUAUGUUCCCUUUGUGAGGUGGUUUUUGUGCUUUUCAAACUGGCGGCUGAUGGUAUUGGUACCUUAUGGAAUUUUGUGUUCGUUUUUGCUUGAAUGAUAUAUCAUCAAUUUGGCAAGAACAUUUUACCUGUCUUAAUAAAUUACCCUGCCCGCAAGUUCAAUUA